AGAGAGGAGCUGGUGGGGGCUUGGGGUGGCUGUGCUGACAUUCAGCCUAUGGAGCAGACUGUCACAACACCAGGAUGGGGACAGCUGGGAGGGAUGGGGACAGAAUAGGGAUGUUGGUGCCAUCUGACUGCUACAGCUGAUGGGGCAGGAAAAAGCACUGAGGGUGACUGACAGUGGAAAAAGUCCUCAAGAUUGAUGUCUUUCUUAUGGGAUAGCACAGCCAGCUGCAGGGUUGGAUUCCUCCAUCUCAGCCUGGAUGGUUGAGAUGGGGAGCAUCUGUGCGGCUCAUCCUGGCCCCCCAAAGGCCUCGUUUUGUCUGGCCGUUGGUUUGUUUGCUGACUGCUCCAUUGCUGUGGGUUAGGAGCACAGAGCAGAGUAGCCGUGGGGAGAGAAGCAGUCUGAAAUCUGUUCCCAGAUGGUGAUGGCCGGGGAUGUUUGAUGCCCAGAAAACACUGUGGUGUGUUAGAGAUGCUUCUGAGUAGCCCAUGCUGGUGUUUAGGAUUCAGCUGAUGUUGGGCUCAGCUGAAAAAUAUCAGCAGUGAAGGAGAGCAGCAUCUCCAGCUUGCAGCCAAGUCCUGCUGUGAGAAUCUCCCAUUUGGGGUGCUGGAGUUGCUCACGUGCCCACCAAGGCACAGUGGUGAGUGAUCCACUCCCAGCAGCUUGGGCAAGGGGAGGACAAGGCAGGAGGAACCCCAGAGCACCACGGGGAAGUUCAUGCUGCUGAGACCUGCUUUGGAGCUGCUCCCACCGCCUGCUUCAUCGCACUGCUGAGGACGUUCAUCCUCCUCUGCCUUGGUGCAGGAGCUGCUUGUGCCAGUGACACCAACAUGAGCUGCCAAAACACCAAACACCAACAGCCAGUCCUGCCCGGGUGAGCGGAGCACGAGAACACACCAUCUCCUCCCCAUAACUUGUGCACAGGCACUCUGAGGUUAGCGAGAGCGUUCUCAGAGCAAACCCCAUCCUACACGAGCCGUUGCUGGUGAGACCCACCUGCGUGCGCUGCGCUGUGGAGCAGGAUCAGCAUUGCCAUCCAGGCUCUGCCUGUGCCCGAUGCACAAAACCGUGUGUUUGAGGAAGUACUUCUGGAGUUUGAAAAGCAGGGGGAGCUGGAAGAAGUGGGGAGAGCCGUGAUGUCUUCCAGGAGCUGUCUCAGGAGAGGGACUGGACCAGCCUGAAGGCCGCCAGAGCCAAAGCCCAGCAGCACAGCUUGGGACACAAGCAUCCCACACGGGGGACUAUUUUGAUGGAGCCGGAGAAGUGAUGACACAAAUAGCUGAUGACACAAAUAGUUCUGCUGGCGGAGCAGCAGAGGUGGCAACCUCUGGAUGGGAGCCAUGAGCAGCAGCUGCAGACAGGCACCUCUUCAUGGAGCUGGAACAGGAUGCAUAGCCCAGGGCUCCUGUCACCAUCCCACCAGUAUCACCAGGAAAGCUGUGACCCGGAUGAGCCGUUCAGUCUCCUUCCUGCACAAUAGUUCUGCCUUCUGCCAGCUCUUGCCCUGAAAAGCUGCAGGUUCAUCUGCUCAGCCCGACUCAAACAUGCACCAUCAACAGCUGGGCACCCCUACACUCCUGCAGUGUUAGGUCAGGCCCCACACUCCUGAGGUUCCAGGAGGUAAAAGUCAUUCAUUCUCAUCUCCAGGUUGGCGGGCUGAGCCAAAUUUUGACCACUGAGCCAUUGCUGUUGCUGGUUUGAAGAUCUUGGCUGGUCCUCGCAGAGCCAUGUGAUUUAAUAGUGGUAAAAGCAACUGUUGCAUGAAAAAUUGAAGCACCCUAUGCCACGCCGAAUGCUGAACGUUGCUGCCAUUUGGGAUAAUACUGGGAAAAGAGUGAACUGAUCGGUCACGUCCUGAAAGAUGGUCUACUUCUCAGUGAGACUUUGUGCCAGAUGGCAUCUGGGGCUGAGCGUCUUGGCAUCUUUCAGCCAAAGGAAUUGCUCCGCGCUUCACCUUCAAGCCUGUGCUUGUGCCACAGCUUUGGCAAUGUUUUCUGCUCAAAGCUCCGUUAUCUAGAAUGGCAGUGAAACCAUGGAGCCCAAAAGGGAGAAGCAUCCCAUCAUCUGCGUGAGUGACUUGGGAAUGGAAGGUGAAGGAGGUGGAGGGCAGAGUUCCCACCCGGAAAGGAUUUUCAAGAUUUGAAAAAAUCAAAACAGCCCCCAGUGUUCCCCUUAUCUAUCAAUUAAAAUCAAACUAGUUUCUUUUUUAUCAAGAUUGAGAGAUGCCACACAGGCUGACUGCAGUAUUAGUGAGGUUAUCUGUGGUGUAGGAAAUCCAGAUUCAGAUGCUUCACGUGCCAUCACCAGUGCACAUCUGGGCUGUUGGCUGCUGUGUUUGUGUUCCUAGAUCUCAUGUUGUCACUGUCAGCUCUAAGCUUGCGUUGAACCUCAAGCAGGUCAGACCUUGUUGGUCUGUGAUAAGGCACAGUGUUUGUGCACGACAGCACAGCUUUUAUAUUGCGCAGGCUCCUAAAGAUACUUGUUCUAACGAUAGGAUAAAACAACGGCUGCCUCCCUGAAUCACUUCAUGUGCUGAAGACAGAGGGAUGCGAGUGAGGGCCGUUCCCAGGGUGGGUGCCGGGAGCACAGUGUGAGAGCGUGCAAUGCUGUGCAGAAGCACAGCUUAAGGUCAGACUCAGCUCUAAAGCUUCCCCAGAAUCCCAAAUCCUCUUUUUAUAUGAGUUUUAGCAAACACAAACAAUUAAAGAAUUUCAUCUUCUCCUACUAUGGUGGAAAAGCCUGAAUGCUUCUCUAAACUUUAUUAAAAAGCUCCAGCGUGUUCC
rnacentral:lncRNA from 1 species